AUUGAACGCUGGCGGCAGGCCUAACACAUGCAAGUCGAACGAGUGGCGGACGGGUGAGUAAUGUCUGGGAAACUGCCUGAUGGAGGGGAAUAACUACUGGAACCGGUAGCUAAUACGGCAUACCAUCAGAUGUGCCCAGAUGGGAUUGGCUAGUUGGGGGGGUAAGGGCUAACAAAGGCGAAGAUCCCUAGCUGGUCUGAGAGGAUGACCAUCAAAACUGUAACUGAGACACGGUCCAGACUCCUACGGGAGGCAGCAGUGGGGAAUAUUGCACAAUGGGCGCAAGCAUGAUGAAGCAAUGCCGCGUGUAUGAAGAAGGCCUUAGGGUUGUAAAGGACUUUCAGCGGGGAGGCGUUACCCGCAGAAGAAGCACCGGCUAACUCCGUGCCAGCAGCCGCGGUAAUUC
rnacentral:rRNA from 1 species